GAUGAACGCUGGCGGCGCGCCUAACACAUGCAAGUCGAACGGUUAAAGCACCUUUUAGGUGUGUAUAAAGUGGCGAACGGCUGAGUAACACGUGGGCAACCUGCCCUCCUCUUGGGGAUAGCCUCGGGAAACCGAGGAUAAUACCCGAUACUUCAAUGUGGCCGCAUGACGACAUUGAGAAAGCUUUUGCGGAGAAGGAUGGGCCCGCGGCCUGUUAGCUUGUUGGUGGGGUAGAGGCCUACCAAGGCAAUGAUGGGUAGCUGGGUUGAGAGACCGACCAGCCAGAUUGGGACUGAGACACGGCCCAGACUCCUACGGGAGGCAGCAGUGGGGAAUCUUGCACAAUGGGCGAAAGCCUGAUGCAGCGACGCCGCGUGCGGGAAGAAGGCCUUCGGGUUGUAAACCGCUUUCAGCAGGGACG
rnacentral:rRNA from 2 species